GUUACUCUUUACGAUAAUUCAGUAAUACCAAGAUAUCCCGUUCAUAAGGAUUUUGUCCUAAUACUCUUGACUAAAUGCAGCUGCUUUUGCUUUUUACAGCCAACAACCAACAUGCUUGUAGCUGAGGACUGGAAUAGGCUCCGAAUCCUGAGCCGUGGUGGAAAUUGGGUUAAUUAAAUACUCCAAGACUGCAACUGUUAUCUAUGGAUGAAAUAACCAAACUAACUCGCAAGAAAACAGUCUCCAUGGUCUGAAUGACCAAACAGCGAACACAUAUAUGCUUUGCUCUCAUGGGGAGGGCUUCAGGAGACAGGAGCCUCGAUGCGCUGAAGAGAGGGGCUGAGCUGCCGAGGGACCAAUUUUGUGGCUCUGAUGAGAAUCCUUUGAGAUGCUACUAGUGACAACCCUACGGUAACCAAGUGAAGGUUUUGCUGUUGCUGCAUUUGGCUCGGUCUGUGGGUCUGGGGGAUGUCUUUUGCGAGCAUCCUGGUUAUCUUUCCGUAUGUAAUGAAGUGGUUGUGAUGCUGUGAUUCCAGUUAAUGUUAUGCCUUUUGCCUUUCCAGUUA